CAUUGUCUUUGUCUUGCCUUUAGGAUGGUGAAUACUUUUUACAGUGUUGUUCUCCACUUUUUUAAAACUGCAGGAGGUACAGGAAGAAGACACAAACAUUUUAAGAGCUGGAGAAAAAGCUUUAUAGUGGGAGAUUUAAAUAGCUCAAUCUGUUUAUCUUAUCAAAAGAAGAUUGAUAGCAUAGAAGCAUGGUGGAAACUAAUGCUGGAAUCUUAAACCAGAUAAAUCAAGUUGGAUUGAGGCACAGAUUCUGACUGGUGCAGAAUUGGAAUUUGUUGCAUCUGGCACAUGUAGCUGAGUGCUCUUGACCUGAAAUGGUUCCCUUCAGUAUUCAUGGCAUCUUCCACUUCAUAUAUGAACAUUUUAUUAGCAGUCUUCAAAGAGAUG